rnacentral:lncRNA from 1 species
UUCCCUCCCAAAACUUAGCUGCCACGCUGUAGAGACCCAAGCCACAUGAAGAAACCAUGUAGUCAAAAUCUGAAAAUCAAGCAGAUGCCGUGCUGAAUCUAGAGAAAGGAAGACAGAGACUGGAGUGCAAGCUUACGCUACUCUACUGUAUGUCUGCAGUGAGAGAGGAAACUAAAAUGUCCAGUUCAGCUCACGAAGUGAAUGAACCUGCACCUGGCAGUUCGCCUGUGUGGGAGAGCGGGGCUGGAAUCCGCAGACAGUGCCCUGGCAGAAUAGAUCUGAUGACUGAGAUCUAUCAGAGAAAGGUUUCACAGCAUCUCACGUGGCUCUCUCUGGAUGGUGAGCAUUGAAUGAAUAUGUAAUGUAAGCAAGGAAUCAUUAAAGGGAGAAAUGAAGCAAUAACUAAACAAACAGGAAUUAUAAGCCCGAAUGGGUGAACAGAUAUUGUAACUUUGUUAAACAAUCAAAAACAACAGCAUUCGACUUUUCAGGAUUGCCUUUGCUGGGAAUAGUAAACAGAUUUGAUUAUUCUGAAACAACAUUAUAAGGAAAAGCUCUAUGAAUGCUAUCAAUCAGCAGGUGGUAUAUAAAAGAAAUCCAGAAAUAAAUCAAGCUAUUCCUUAGAUUUUUCUAGCAACCUCUGCAGCUGUUUAAAGCAGAAUAAAUGUGGCCACCUGUGACUGCAUAGACAAAGACAAUUUCAAUAACUACACAUCAACAAAAACAACCAAAAUUUUCAACACGCUCCUACAAGGUCCCCAAGUGUAUGAGAUUUAUUUUACUGCCAGAACUGCUUAUUGAAAAAGGAACCUGUAUUUAGUGAUGAAGAGAUCAUGAAGGAGCCACCUGGGACUCACCACUCAAAAUACACAAGUGAACUGAUUAAUGCAGAAAAGAAGUUUCAAAAUGUUAGGGACCAUACGAAGCUCUGACAUGGUGUUGCCAAGUGGCUUAUAGAUGAAAUGCUGUGUUGCAGACAAGCAUUUCCAGACACUGGCACCCUCAUGACACCUCCUUCACAGAAACUCUCAAUAGUGCCGACCAAAUCCCCCUGGAGGAUUUCUCAUUUCUAUAAAAAACGUACUGAACAAGGGAGGAGCAAAUCAUGACAAAGAUCAAUGGAAAAAGAAUAAUGACAGAAAAGGAGGAACAAGAAUGAAAAAACUACAUAAACAGAAACUAUGAGAUGAGUUGUAUACCUUGUUAAGAAUAAAUUGGAAACUCAAAUAUUUGUUGAUACUACCCAGAUUUCUGACUCCAC